CGUCCCCGCCGGGCAAACGUCAGUUGGAAGCCAGCCGUCAGCGACCGGAUGUGGACGAGCGGUGUGGCGGCGGCGGCGGCGGCGACCCAGGCCAGACCGGGGGCGGCGAACUGCGGCCGCUCACCUCCGCGGCCCCCGGCUCGCCGUCAUCAGAGCAGCUGCCCGCACCUUUUGGGCCGACAGCCUCCGAACCUACCUCGGCCCGGGCUGGGCACGCGUCGUCGCCGCCCGACUCGGAGGAUCUGCGGCUGAUUGUGGACCGGCUGAAGAUGAAGCUGGAGCAGCAGAUGAAGGCCAAGCUUGGGCUGGAGGAAGAGGUCAUUGGCUUGAGGCGGCGAGCGGCUGAGAAGGCGUCCGUAUGCUCGCCGGGGGCAUGUGGUGCCGCUUCCCGUGAACGGGCGAAGGUGACACCAUGGGGCCGGAACGCAUCCUUAGAGGAGCAGUCCCAGUCCCAGUCCCAGUCCCAGUCCCAGUCCCAGUCCCAGUCUCAGUCCUUGUCCCAGUCCCAGUGUUUGUCUCAGCCCCAGUCCCAGUCCCAGUCUCAGUCGGUGCCUGGCCGGCCUGCGGAGGAACCGGCGCGCCGCCAGCCAAUGAAACCGCCAG